rnacentral:rRNA from 1 species
UACGUAGGGUGCAAGCGUUGUCCGGAAUUAUUGGGCGUAAAGAGCUCGUAGGCGGUCUGUCGCGUCGGAUGUGAAAACCCAGGGCUCAACCCUGGGCCUGCAUUCGAUACGGGCAGACCAGAGUUCGGUAGGGGAGACUGGAAUUCCUGGUGUAGCGGUGAAAUGCGCAGAUAUCAGGAGGAACACCGGUGGCGAAGGCGGGAUCCUGGGCCAGUACUGACGCUGAGGAGCGAAAGCGUGGGGAGCAAACAGG